UCGUUAAACCUCAAAGGCUCAAAGGCAGUCCAAUAGUCCAAUACGUAACUGCGUAUUUGAGUAGAUGACGUCCAGCUGGCUAGACGUGUUCUGAUAUCCGCUACCUGCUACACAAACUCGAAGAAGUAUUUAAGAUACGUAAAUGUCCCUGCAACCAACUUCAUCGGAUGAAGAAGAACAAUCUUUUGCUCGAGGAGCAAAAAAAGAACAUCGAAAAUACUCUGCUUUAUCGAGCAGGAGCUGGAGGACCAAGAGUUUCCAAAAGAGGGCAGAUUUUGAAUCCAAGAUUUCUUUUUCAACAUAUACAAUAAAU